UAGGGAAUCUUCGGCAAUGGACGAAAGUCUGACCGAGCAACGCCGCGUGAGUGAAGAAGGUUUUCGGAUCGUAAAACUCUGUUGUUAGAGAAGAACAAGGACGUUAGUAACUGAACGUCCCCUGACGGUAUCUAACCAGAAAGCCACGGCUAACUACGUGCCAGCAGCCGCGGUAAUACGUAGGUGGCAAGCGUUGUCCGGAUUUAUUGGUCGUAAAGCGAGCGCAGGCGGUUUCUUAAGUCUGAUGUGAAAGCCCCCGGCUCAACCGGGGAGGGUCAUUGGAUACUGGGAGACUUGAGUGCAGAAGAGGAGAGUGGAAUUCCAUGUGUAGCGGUGAAAUUCGUAGAUAUAUGGAGGACCACCAGUGGCGAAGGCGGCUCUCUGGUCUGUAACUGACGCUGAGGCUCGAAAGCGUGGGGAGCAAACAGG
rnacentral:rRNA from 1 species